GGAAGGUGGGAUGACGUCAAAUCAUCAUGCCCUUAUGUUCUGGGCUACACACGUGCUACAAUGGCCGGUACAGACGGACGCAAAGCCGCGAGGUGGAGCAAAUCCCUAAAAAGCCGGUCUCAGUUCGGAUUGCAGGCUGCAAUUCGCCUGCAUGAAGUCGGAAUCGCUAGUAAUCGCAGGUCAGCAUACUGCGGUGAAUACGUUCCCGGGCCUU
rnacentral:rRNA from 1 species